rnacentral:rRNA from 1 species
UACGGAGUUACAAAGGACGACAUUAGACGAAUCAUCUGGAAAGAUGAAUCAAAGAAGGUAAUAAUCCUGUAGUCGAAAAUGUUGUCUCUCUUGAGUGGAUCCUGAGUACGACGGAGCACGUGAAAUUCCGUCGGAAUCUGGGAGGACCAUCUCCUAAGGCUAAAUACUCUCUAGUGACCGAUAGUGAACCAGUACCGUGAGGGAAAGGUGAAAAGCACCCCGGAAGGGGAGUGAAAUAGAACCUGAAACCGUGUGCUUACAAGUAGUCAGAGCCCGUUAAUGGGUGAUGGCGUGCCUUUUGUAGAAUGAACCGGCGAGUUACGAUUUGAUGCAAGGUUAAGCAGUAAAUGUGGAGCCGUAGCGAAAGCGAGUCUGAAUAGGGCGUUUAGUAUUUGGUCGUAGACCCGAAACCAGGUGAUCUACCCUUGGUCAGGUUGAAGUUCAGGUAACACUGAAUGGAGGACCGAACCGACUUACGUUGAAAAGUGAGCGGAUGAACUGAGGGUAGCGGAGAAAUUCCAAUCGAACCUGGAGAUAGCUGGUUCUCUCCGAAAUAGCUUUAGGGCUAGCCUCAAGUGAUGAUUAUUGGAGGUAGAGCACUGUUUGGACGAGGGGCCCCUCUCGGGUUACCGAAUUCAGACAAACUCCGAAUGCCAAUUAAUUUAACUUGGGAGUCAGAACAUGGGUGAUAAGGUCCGUGUUCGAAAGGGAAACAGCCCAGACCACCAGCUAAGGUCCCAAAAUAUAUGUUAAGUGGAAAAGGAUGUGGCGUUGCCCAGACAACUAGGAUGUUGGCUUAGAAGCAGCCAUCAUUUAAAGAGUGCGUAAUAGCUCACUAGUCGAGUGACACUGCGCCGAAAAUGUACCGGGGCUAAACAUAUUACCGAAGCUGUGGAUUGUCCUUUGGACAAUGGUAGGAGAGCGUUCUAAGGGCGUUGAAGCAUGAUCGUAAGGACAUGUGGAGCGCUUAGAAGUGAGAAUGCCGGUGUGAGUAGCGAAAGACGGGUGAGAAUCCCGUCCACCGAUUGACUAAGGUUUCCAGAGGAAGGCUCGUCCGCUCUGGGUUAGUCGGGUCCUAAGCUGAGGCCGACAGGCGUAGGCGAUGGAUAACAGGUUGAUAUUCCUGUACCACCUAUAAUCGUUUUAAUCGAUGGGGGGACGCAGUAGGAUAGGCGAAGCGUGCGAUUGGAUUGCACGUCUAAGCAGUAAGGCUGAGUAUUAGGCAAAUCCGGUACUCGUUAAGGCUGAGCUGUGAUGGGGAGAAGACAUUGAGUCUUCGAGUCGUUGAUUUCACACUGCCGAGAAAAGCCUCUAGAUAGAAAAUAGGUGCCCGUACCGCAAACCGACAC